rnacentral:lncRNA from 1 species
UGACAACGAUGUCCUCUCUAUGCCUUUGCUUUAAUUUUCACCCAUCCUAUCCUGAAGUACCAUGGCAUUGCCCAGAAAGCACUGCCUAGAUCCAGGCCAGACUCAUCUCAAGCUUCAGAGUCUUCUGAUCCUGCUCUCUCAGUAGGUUUUCCUUUUCUUUCACUCCUUUCUCAGUUGGGCUUUGAUUUCCACAAAGCUCCUCUCUUGAGCCUCCAAGUUUUGCUGCUGUUCUUUACACCUUUGCUUGAGAAGCAUUUUUUUCCUUUUCAGGUGAUUUUUUUUUUUUUUUUUUGGCUCGCUUUGCUGAUCCGUGAAGGUUUUUGAGAGGGAAGAAAAAGAACAGUCAGACGUGAGUGCCAUACAUCCCUUCUCAGAUAUCAAACUGCUGUUGAAAAGGCAGAUGGGAAAUAUUUGAAUUCAUCCAGUGGCCAUACAAUAAGAGCAAACUUCAGAAUGUGAUGGGCAAGACACAGCUGUCUGGCUGACGCUCUACCACAACUCUGUUGUUAUUUUCACAUUUAGGAAGCUCCUUGUUUCAGAAAAUCCUCCCAUCAGAUCUCUCAAACAGCCCUGCAGGAAACUACCCACCCUGAUGGAAGCUGAGACCUGCCCCUGUACCUUGCAAGGCCUUGGAUUUCCACAGGUUGGAUUCUAUCCACAUCUGCUACAACCACAGCAAGCGCUGGAGAGCUCAAUUAUUUUGAGGAACCAAGAAAAGGCCAAGACACAUCACGCAGAUACAGCAACAAGGCACCAUCUUUGAAGCCAA